AUCUCAGCCAUGGACUCCUCCGACGGGCACUGGAUCAUCGCCAAGGCCGUUUUCAACAGCAGUGUGAAGGGCAUGGUAGUUCUGUCCCAACAGUGUUUUCCUGAUGGCAGCUUCAGUGACACGAUCCUGCUGGUGGACCUCAGAGCGUCUAACACUGUUAAUGUCAAAAACGCUUCCUGGUACAUAACCGAAAGUCCGUUCAGUGGACUGGUGGCUGAAUGUCCAGGAAAUGGAAGAACUUAUAACCCUUUCAACAUGACAGCUCAGAGCUCCAACUGUUCCCCACUCACCUAUCUGGCGUGCGAGGUUGGAGAUCUGUCCAGCAAACUCGGCUCCGUCAGUUUAACACAAAGGCAGCUCUUUACAGAUGCGCAUCUUCAGCUGGCUGGAGACUACACAGUCGUUUACAGAAUGCUAGUUCUGAGGGCAGGAGACGAGACCAUCGAUUGUGCGGACAUCGUCCCUGUGUCACCGUCAGCACAGCAAAUCUUCCCGAGCAUAAAAUCCUUCAGCAGUUAUGAUUUCCGUAAAAGGGUGGCAGACGUUCUGGAGGUCCAAGUGUCCCGGGUGUCCAUCUUACCCGGUGCCCUCUCACCCAUUGCAGGAGGGAAGUGCCAGCAAGUCACCUUUCUUGUGUCAGGUGACAUGAGUUUGAAGAAGCUAUCUGCUGUGAAGGACAGCAGGAUGAUGGGCAUGUACAGGCAGACUGAAUGGUGUACGAAAAGUGGCGUACCUGGUCUUGGGUCUUCACAUACCGGAACCAUCCACGUCUUCUCCCUGGCCGCCGUUUACCUUCUCCACUCUCUCAUUCUGCACUGGAUGUCAGAGUGAGAUCAGCUGUGCUGAAUUUAUCCCCAGAGCUGCACGGAGGCUGCUUAACUCCAUAAGACUUGGUGUGAAUGAACUGUCUCGAUGGUCAACGUGCUCAAACCACUUUGAAUCAACUGCUGUAAAAUGAUACUAGAUAAAAAUGUUGUUUUACGAACCUUUGUUUUACUAUUACUGUCUGAACAGUACUUAGAACUUGACGGCAAUUCAUUUUCUAUUUACGUUAUAUUGUUCGCUGAUUUGAUACUGCCAAGUGAUUUAUGCCCAUGUGUUCACUGUAUAUCUGGUGAAAAUGACUUACUGUGUAUUUGUAUUUUUAAUGCUCGCAUGAUUGUAGAUAUCGCAUCCACCAGAUCCUAAAUGUCCUAGUAUAUGCUUUGUCGCCCUCAUUUGCGGUUCGAAUGAAUUGAUCGCGUAUUCAAUGAAGUAGAGUCGGAUUGAGCUUGCUCUGUACGUCCUCGGACAUGUUGCGCAGUUUCCAUUUAAGUUCCAUGUUGGUGAGAG
ensembl:lncRNA